AUCGUCACCAUUUGGCUGUGGCAGGUACAAGAACCUUUUCUAGCCUCUUCCUUCAUGGUUUUCAGCUUAAGGACUGACUUCCUGAAGAUGCUUUCUGGAUGAACUGCAAAGUUGCUGUAAGGGAUUAUUUGAAUUGAUAAAUUAAAACAACUACUUCCAAGUGGAUUCUAAAGCAUGAGAGCUGACAUUGCCAGUAUGGGAGAUUCUCUGCUCAUGGAAGGCAGAAGAAACACUGUUCUUCUAGACCAACUGCAUGCUGUCAACAGAAUGUACAGAAAACAAAAAUACCAGGCAAGACCUGCUAUUUUGAGCACAAGCAACAGCAAUUGGAAAAUAACUUCUGGCCUGGAGACAAAGAGCCACAGGAUUACAUCUGUCUGUAUAUAGGUGUUCCCCAACAUAAUCAAUACAUCCUUACAAUGGCAACCCAGGAUAAAGUACACCAAACCAGUCUCUGUAUCCUCUCUUUAAAAGCACCUGACAUUUUCCUAAGGUUCUGAGGACAUCUGAGAAAUGGAGCAAUUUUUCUGUGUAUCCUUUGUCUUAUUUUCUCUCUUCCAGACAAACUUUCAGUAAAUUAUACACUCAUUCCAUGAAGAUGCAGACUGACUGGGAUUUCAGAAUGGGCUGAGUUACAAGUGUGUAAACCUAGAGUGACAGCUGCACAGUCAGUAAUGUUCCUUUAGAUUCAGGCUGGUUCAGCUGAGAUCAUAUUCCAACCAAACUGACAUUUAUGUACACAGAAAAUGUAGGUCUCCUUCCAAAGACCUGCCACUGCACAUAUGAGGGAU